GUAUGGCAAAAUCCUAUCACCACCUCCUCGCGGUGCCAGCUGGAUACAACGAUUCGUUGGAACUAACGGUGAAGAUCUCUGAUGGCAGG
rfam:Lepisosteus oculatus linkage group LG13, whole genome shotgun sequence.